rnacentral:rRNA from 1 species
UUUGAUCCUGGCUCAGGAUGAACGCUGGCGGCGUGCUUAACACAUGCAAGUCGAACGAUGAUCCCAGCUUGCUGGGGGAUUAGUGGCGAACGGGUGAGUAACACGUGAGUAACCUGCCCUUAACUCUGGGAUAAGCCUGGGAAACUGGGUCUAAUACCGGAUAUGACUCCUCAUCGCAUGGUGGGGGGUGGAAAGCUUUAUUGUGGUUUUGGAUGGACUCGCGGCCUAUCAGCUUGUUGGUGAGGUAAUGGCUCACCAAGGCGACGACGGGUAGCCGGCCUGAGAGGGUGACCGGCCACACUGGGACUGAGACACGGCCCAGACUCCUACGGGAGGCAGCAGUGGGGAAUAUUGCACAAUGGGCGAAAGCCUGAUGCAGCGACGCCGCGUGAGGGAUGACGGCCUUCGGGUUGUAAACCUCUUUCAGUAGGGAAGAAGCGAAAGUGACGGUACCUGCAGAAGAAGCGCCGGCUAACUACGUGCCAGCAGCCGCGGUAAUACGUAGGGCGCAAGCGUUAUCCGGAAUUAUUGGGCGUAAAGAGCUCGUAGGCGGUUUGUCGCGUCUGCCGUGAAAGUCCGGGGCUCAACUCCGGAUCUGCGGUGGGUACGGGCAGACUAGAGUGAUGUAGGGGAGACUGGAAUUCCUGGUGUAGCGGUGAAAUGCGCAGAUAUCAGGAGGAACACCGAUGGCGAAGGCAGGUCUCUGGGCAUUAACUGACGCUGAGGAGCGAAAGCAUGGGGAGCGAACAGGAUUAGAUACCCUGGUAGUCCAUGCCGUAAACGUUGGGCACUAGGUGUGGGGGACAUUCCACGUUUUCCGCGCCGUAGCUAACGCAUUAAGUGCCCCGCCU